rnacentral:lncRNA from 1 species
CGGAAUGUGGCUCAAGUUGGGAGGCGUUACCUGCGGAGGGUUUGAGGCACGCCCAGGAGCGAGCCCACGGUCGGCCGACGCGGGGCCAGGGGCGGGCCCCAGGAUCCGGAGCUUCGGGCGGGGCCGAGUCUGGGUUUGGGGCCCGGGAGGCGGGGCCAGUUAGGGCGAGGGUCCCUGGGAUCGUCGGGUCAGGCCUUGGGCUAACGUAGACACUCUCGCAGUACCUCCGCCUUCAGGAAGGUCUUUUUAGCAGGGGCCUUACAGGUGCACGCUUCGGUCCUGGAGGCCUUAUCCUAACCUCUCCAUCAGCGCCACCCGUCUGGGGCCCGAAAGGAGGGAGCUUUCCCUCUGUCCUCCAGCCUUUGGACUGUCUCCAAACAAGCCAUUCGUUCACCAAAUACUUAUUAAGCACCUACCAUGUGCCUGACAAGGGAGAUGUAACGCUGUUGUUCCCCACCAGAACCAAAUGAGCGCAAGAUCUGACAAAGAAAAAAAAGGUUCAUCUUUUAUUCCCCCAAACACUUUCAUUUAAAUCAAGAGGAUGGGAUGUGGUUAUUGCUGUGUUUUUAGACAGAAUCAACGGUUUCUGUGUCUGAGAUGUUGCAUACACCCUCUCAGUCCCUCUAUCCUGAGAUGGAGUCACCUGAGGAUCCACAGCAAGUCCUAACCAGGGAUGGGUCUGGGUGAUUAAGGAAGGUUGGCUUCAGAACUGGGCCAGGGGCACUGCUUUGCUUUUGCUGUUUUGAUCAGCUCUCUGCCUGCAGGAGACAAGGAAAACCAAUGGGAACAGCCCAGUAAAGGCUCCAUUCCCCAUUUUACAGCUGGGGAAACUGAGUUACAGAGCUUUUCUGCACUGAGUCAUCAGGAGCAAAUGCUAGAUCAGAUAGGGUCUCUCUCUCUGCCACCCAGGCCAGAGUGCAGUUGACGCAGGGCAGGGGAGCCCCGAAGUGGAGCAUAGUGUGUCCGGAACUGGUGGGUUCUUGGUCUCACUGACUUCAAGAAUGAAGCCGUGGACCCUCACGAGACAGGGUUUCACCAUGUUGGCCAGG